rnacentral:misc_RNA from 1 species
CAAGUCAAACAUGGCGAUUUGCAGCAGUUAGCGGAGCGAGCUUUGCGAGCCAACUUCGCAGUGCGUCAUGUAACAGCAUCUUUUCCCGCCCCGUAAUAAGUGGAGUUGUUGUUGACCAUUCAGUGCUGUCCGUGGAAGUUUGAGUGACCAUGCGAUUCAAUGAGAAGGAGAUGGCAACGCUCGCCGCUGGCGCUGCCGACAAGGAGGGCCGUCUGAACCACCGAAACCUGUCCUUCAGAGAAGUGUUCAAAGAACGGUGGUUCAAGUUGAAAGGAAACUUGCUGUUCUACUUUCGCUUGAAUGAACAUGGGGGUGUGUUUGAAAAAGAGCCCGUGGGCCUAUUUGUCAUCGAAUGCUGCAAGGUUCAGCAUGAACCAAACGUCGACUAUGCAUUUGCGUUUUCUAUAGCAUUCGUAGAUGAUGCGGACCGAAGGCAUCUGUUCACGUGCACGACGCAGAAGCACUGCGAUGAGUGGGUGAGCUGCCUACAGCAGGCUGGCUACGAAUACCAAAGGGGUCGCCUGCUCUACAUGCAGCAGAAGAUAUUGGAACUCACAGGACGGGACCCUUUGGCAGACUUCAUCAGUCGGCGGAAUGGCAAUGCUCCGGGGAGUGUACAGGCCAUUCAGAAGGCACCUGAAAGCAACAGCAGUGCUGCGGGCAAGUUCUUUGCAUUCCUUAGGACAUGGUAGCAUGUCCAGACGAUGCUUUUGCAUGCUGCAGCUAUGCUUGGGGUCAGUGUGUUGGCGUUGCUUUGCUUGCUCAGUUGCAGUUUCCUUCCUGCUUCGCCAUUUGACGAAGAGCUGCCUUGGAAUGUGUGCUUGCUGCUUUUGCGUCUGUCUUGGCUUUUUGCUGCAAUAAAUGAUGUGAAAAAGAGGACCACGAUAUGGCACUGAUAUGUGCCACCAGGUCACACUUCACCGUGGUCUCACAUUGCCAUCACCAUCAUUCCCAGCAUUGCCCAAGUCACACACUAUGCGAAGCAUCUCUGGUUCUGCUUCCACUAAUCAUCAUGACUUUUCUUGGGUGAAGUCGAGCCCCGUUUUUGACUUCUAGUGUUAAAUGCUGCAUUAUAUAUGUGCGUGUGUUAACGUCCCACCACUUGUGCCUACAAGUCACUCGUCUGGACCUUAUUAGGCUGCAACGUGAUCUUCAGAGUUCACUUGGUAACCCUGUUAAUUGUUUCUAAGAUACCAGAUAGCAUUGAAUAUUUCCUGGUGCUUCAUUUUAACACUGCUUGGUUCUUUUUGUUGUCUAAUAACGGUACAGAUUUCGUGGAACAAAUAGUUGACACAGUGAGCGGAGCACCUAGGGACCUCUACCUUAUGCACAAAGUGAUGACACAGUUUGCCAAAGACGUAUUCAGUAGUUUUCUGUUUUUCUUUCAUUAGUUGAGUACAGUUAUACAGGUCAAGUAGUGUAGCCAUUUGCGGAGCACAACAUCGUGUUUGUUGAAUACUGAAAAACAUCUCAACUUGACACCUUUAUUUCGGUCAUCAAAAUCAGUUCAUUUUCUUAGUUAAGAUAGGAAUUUAUGCUUUAUCUCUUAUCUGUGAUGCACAGCUGCUUACUACACAAGAAAAAGUAGGAAUAGAAGCAUUUAUCACUUUUUGCUACUCUGACAGAGUGAAAAAGUGUUUUUGGUAGACGGCUGGCAGCACAGAUAAUGUCGGUUAUGGCAUAAAAAGAAUAAAAUGACAAUCCCAGUGGUUCAGUGGGCCUCCCUUAUUGUCGUAGCCUCUCUGGUCAUUAACCUAGGCUUCUGAAUAUGAGGUUCUGCCUUUUUUUUUUGGUUUCGCGGAAGACCUAGUUUACAUAGGAAAGGAGCCACUUUAGUAUUAGUUGAUGCUUUUAAUGCCCUCCUUUGCUAAGCAGAGCUACAUUGAUCGUAAAUUUGGUGAGAGCACCACAACUGUUGGUAUACGAGACGAUAUCGUCAUCACCGAUCCCGAGUCGUUGCCGCAUUCAAUGCUGUUGUUAGACAAAUGAAGACAGAAGUGAAGCUAGGGGUGUGUGAAUAGUGAUUUCUGGGGCCAUAUCGAAUACUUUUUUAUAGUUCUCGAAUACCGAAUAGCCAUUUAUAUAAAUAAUAUAAAAUUAUCACAUCCUGGUGUUCAUAACUUUAUCAUUAAUUUUAGCAUCGGGAACAAAUACGCAUGCACAGAUUUCUUCAGAGUGUGUGUGAUGAUCGUGUAUUUGGCAAAGUCUAGCUGCAGGAAUGAGAUAUGCGGGGAUAAAAGUUAUCACACUUCUGCGUCUGUUUAGUGCUUAUUUCAGUGCAGUUCACAUUUUUAAAUGUCCUUAAACUAUUUUAAAAAUAUUUGCUUACAUAUAGCUCUUGUUUGAUUAAAAAAUUUUGAAAUUCACGCACCUCUAGUCAAGAUUGAAAAGGCUGUGUAUGUGUGAUCGUAGUGAAGCCGUUAUGAGGCACUAAUGGCGCAAAAGUGGUUUAUGCAAGGGACAUAAUGAGGUAAAUGAUGUGAAUUGAAGGAAUUGAAAUAUUCAAACCACAAUAGAAAAUGUUGACCAGUUGCACUUUAAGUGUAAACCGGAAGUGAGUCAACCAUGGCCCUAUAGUCAACCAGAGGUGAUUAAGUCCGGGAGUGGGAACCAGAAGUGCAAUUAAGACUAGAAUUUGGUGCACGGAAGUCUUUUAACUGCAGUUGGAUAAGACCGGCAAGUCACGUGCAGGAAGAGAGAGGCAACGCCAAUGGGGAGGGGGUAGUUCAAAGUGAUGCCACAAAAGUCUGCAAAGAACUGCGGAGUGAUCCGCGAAGAUAAAAAGGGUGCGAUGUGACGGUCACGCAUUUCUCUCGCAUUUACCACUGAAUCGCCACCUAAAGUUUUUCCCCAUGUACUCUAAAACUUCCUUGUGAUGUUCACCAUUCCUGUAGCCAACCGCUGAGCUACAAGCUUGCACUGUAGCAAAAAGCACAAUGCAUACAUUAGCUUUGUUUGUUUUUCACUGAGUUAUUGCACUGCAGUUCAGAACCGCUUCGUAGCUACUAUUAACAAGCUAUGUCCCUUAGACGGGUAAACUCGCACUGUGCUUGACUUUUUUACUUUUUCAUUUGGCAAGUUUGUAGUUUAGUUCAUCCCCAUACUAUACAAUGCAUAGUUUCAUUUGAAUGACUCUGUAACCCAACUCAUAGUCACGGUUGCAUCAUUUCUUCCUGUCUUGUGGUACAAGACACAUAAGGAAAAUUGCUUCAUGCCCAGAAGCUGCUUUAAUAGGACACUAGGAGAAAUCUCAAUUAAGAUGAGACUGAGCUUUCUCAGAACCUUAUUUGCAGUCAGCCUUGAUGGCUUAGCCAAUAAAGCUAAGUUUGAAGACGCACAUUCUUUCUCAGUCACAGCGGGCACAUUUCAGUGGGGGAGAAACUCUGGAACUCUCGUGCACAUACGUUUAGGUCCACAUAAAAGACCUCGGUCAUUUAAAAUUAACCUGAAAUCCUCCACCACGGCAUGCGUUGUAAUCCUGUGGUAUUUUUGGCCCUGUAAACCCCAGAAUGUAAUUUUAAAAUUUUAACCUUAUUUGCAUUUCUCGUAAAAAAGUUCGAAUGUCAGGAAAGAGGUUAUGCCCUUUAAUACUGAGCCAAAACCAUGGCGGGGAUGUUAUAUGUGGGCUUUGCGUAGGAAAACGUUAAGACGUUGCCCACUAAAGUAGCUGCUUGUUUUUUUAAGGCAUCGUAUAACCUUUGUUUGUUCGCAAGUAACCAGUCUUGAGCAUGCCUUGUCAAGGUCCACAAACAUCCCAUAGAUUUGGUGGUGCUGUGAACUGGCUUGUUUUCUAGCUUCUUUUUCUGGCUUGCAAUUGGUCAUGUUAUAGCCACACGGGACUUGUUCCACACGCAUAAGCGUGACAUAACAUUAAACUUGCCAUUUCUCCAUAGCGGCCCUUUAAGGUACAUACAGAACAGACUGAUGGUUGAAAUCUAGCGUGACCUCAUAUCAGAAGUGGCUUGGUCUCCGUGGUGCCCUUUUGAAUGCACUGUCACUACAUUCCACUAGGAAUGGCACUUUGAGUACCUGUAUUGUGGAAACGAGGCCGGCAUUUCACAGUUUUGCUGCCAAGAAUCACUCUCUUCACGCCAUUGCUGUGUGAAUGUGUAUUUUGUGCCUUUGUUGCCACGUGCCUCGUAGAAGCACUUGUGAUGAUUGCUAGUUGCAGAAUGUUCCAAAUGUAGCAGUCCCCAGUACCACCGUCAUUUGCUGAAGCGCUGUACGUAUAUAGUAUAUUCCGAGGUGAAAGGCGCAUAGACGACACACAUAAGAGAGAUGCACAUACAAGGCACUGAUGAAACACUUCACAGAAUGCCCUGUGUGCUAGGAAUAUAAGACUUUCGGUAUUAAAAUGGGCGCGUUGGUUUGGCAUAUUCACAGACGCAAGGCACAUAGACAACACACACGAGAGAGACACACUCACAAGCCGCCUACGUCUUCCUCGGAAUAUGCUAAACCAACACACCCCAUUUUUCCAUCUUGACAUUGUAUUGUUUGCUACGUAGUGAAAAUAAAGUUUCUUUUUCUUGACAAGCUUGACUAGCUCGAAGAAAGAAAAGCUGUAGUUAGGAGUGAAUGAUCUAUUAGUUAUUCUUGACACGAGUACACGAGUACUGGUGUGCACUUCUCAUUGAAGAGUUCUCAAUAGUUUCACAUUUUAUAACACUAAAUCUUAGCACAAUUUUCUUGCUUUCUCACUUUGUUAGCAUGAAGGGCAUUCCUAUAUAGAAAAAUGGAAAGUAGCUGCUGAGAUCUUGGUUCUGUGGCCACUGCACGUGAUUCUUAAAGGAGUACUGAGACAAAAAUUUUGAUGUGGCAUUUUUUUGCUGCAGUAUGUUGCUGGAAGCCUAUAGUCAUAACACGGCACAUCGCUUGUUGCAGCAUGCAACAGAUAAUUAAUUACAGUCUGUUUAUUACCGACCAGUCUCAGUUUCGGUAUGGGAGAGCUCCGAGAACGACAAGCCCCCGUGUGCAGCUAACGCCAUCUAGUGUGUCAAAGCCACACUGAACUGUGACGCACUUCCGCGCUGCCUGCAUCGUCUGCUCGCAUUCUUUCGCAUGUGGCAUGUGCAGUGCGAUGUUGUUGCCGUCAUCGUCAUCAUUGUCACCUGGUGGCAAAGACUUCCUUGAGGCUUCCAUAUGUUUGCCACGGGCACAGACUUUCGAGCAGCCUCCGAAUAGUAGCCUGUUGGCACAAGCACGACAAAAGCGCAAUGGCAACUAUGAUGUCAUGAUUUAGCUGGGCAUCUCGGAGCUCAGCUGCAGUGGUGACAUUGUGGAAGUUUGGGGUCAGCUUCGAGUCGCUUUGUAUGAUGUCAAUGUCGUGAGGUGCGGUGUAUAGCGCUGAAUCGGGCUUGCGAACUUCAAAAUUCGUAUAAUUUAUCUUCCAAGCUGUAUUCGUUGUUCAGGUUUGGUAGAUGAUAUACGCAUGUUCACGAGAGUCGAUCCCACAGGCUAUCUCAGUGGCAAAAUUUUGUGUUAGUACCACUUUAAAGGACAAUUGCACUAAGCUUUUACGUUGGCUAAAUUGAUUAUGACUGGAGUAUGAACUAGUAUGUAUUCUAGUAAGUACACAUUCUAGUUAGUAGUCAGUACUGACUGUCGAAGCAAGCUUUGAAAAUUUGCAGGGCUCUUAUUCAUCUAAUUUUUAUUACUAACAGCCUUUAAAUAGCACCUCUGCAGACCCUGCCUACGUGCAGUUUAGAGAUCUGAGACAAAUCCUAGCAUACUGCCCCGAACAUGUUCAAUGUGUUCGAGAGCACUGCCAUGUCUUUGAGGCCAUGCAAAGUGGCAUUGGUUUUGAACAUUCAGAGUUCUGCCUUGCUUCUGUCAUAAUAGUAGCAUUUUUUGCAGUUUUGGAAUCGAAAAUGUACUUUUGAAGCUUUUUCGUGAUGUGCACACCUGUACUUCAAACCAAUUUUCAAAGAUGUUGCUCUCACAUCUACAUUGUCUGGAACUAGGUUUUUUACAUAACCCUGUAUUACUUAGCAGUUUGUCUUUAACUGUAGUGUGAUAACAGCGUAAGCAUUUACUACUAUUACACAACUGUUAAAUGAAAUAUUAUUCAUUGUUUUACUUUGAUUGUUGUUGACGGGGGUUUUCACUGUGGUAUUGUGCGAUCAACCAUUGUGCCAUAAUGUUACGAGUGCAGAUUUCUUUUAUAUGUCGUCGAUAAACAUGGUAAACCUAUACAUUCUUAUGAAAAGAUACUGUGAGGACAAGCUCCUUCUAAUCACUGUGUGAUGAUAGUUUAGAAAGCUGUAAUAAGUGGUGUAGCAAAUUUUGAUAAACUAAUACUCCUGUUACAUGGGCAGCUUGAACUGUGGUUAAGCUUCCCACUAGUUUAAUUCUCUGAAUCACUUAAUGCUAACCAUUAAGCUGCCAGAGUAAUGUUAUCCUUUCAUUUUUAGUGGCGUAGCAUCUUGUGAUCACUUGUGUACUGGUUUCAUUUUGAACAGUUUCUCUACAAAACUUCGUUAUCUUGGUAAAAUGGCAUUUCUGAGCGAUACAGUUGCAAGAUUUAAAUGUUUAAAGGGGGCCCAUGCUGGAGUCGACUAAUGCACCAUCUGCUGUAUUGUUUCCUUGCGAAAGUUUGGCUACAAUAACACCAUAGUUGCCAAGCUCAGCUAGUGCUCAGCUAUGGUUAGUGUUCAAACCACCAUUUGGUAUCUCGUGUAUGCGCUAACUGCUUUUAGUAAAAACCGUAGUUACAUUAACCAUAGUUAAGGUUGCCCGUGUACCAGGAGUAUGGGAGAUAGUUGCUGUCAAUGUAGAUUCCAUGUUUAAGCUGUGUGGGCAGGUAGCCUUCAGUCAGCUUAUGGUAGCAAAACUAGAGUACUGUAUAGGAAUAAAACCAAGUUUCAAUCGAACCCCAGCCACACUUUUUUUUAUUGACAAUCUUGGCUUGUCGUGUCACUGUGCAAUGCGAGUAAUUGAAUACUCAUGGCUUUUUGAUACAGUAUUGUAAUGGCGUUUUAAGCAAUUAUACAUAGGUGUGUUGAAAUUCAUCAUUGACAGAGCUAGUAGUAUAAUAUGUCAGUAAAAGCCCAGAUGGGUUUUUACUAUGUUUGUUUUGUAAAUAUUUGACAGAUGGAGAAAGAUGUAUUUUGAACUGCACGAGCUCGUUUGUGUGUUUGCCUUGGCACUUCUCAGUGAGGGGAUUCUCAGGCUGGGCACACCAACGAUGAAAAAAGACAUGGUUCUCGUUGAUGUUGCCAGAAAUGUCAGUACGAUGUCUUAAUCUGGCUUUUAACAGUGUUACCUUUUUGGGACCAAUAAAUAGUAAACAUGAAA